rnacentral:rRNA from 1 species
UAAUACAGAGGGUGCGAGCGUUGUUCGGAAUUACUGGGCGUAAAGCGCGCGCAGGCGGCCUUUUAAGUCUCGUGGUGAAAUGCCGGGGCUCAACCCCGUGCCCGCCGGAGAUACUGGGAGGCUGGAGACGAGUAGAGGCAAGGGGAAUUCCGGGUGUAGCGGUGGAAUGCGUAGAGAUCCGGAAGAACACCGGAGGCGAAGGCGGCUUGCUGGGCUCAUGUCUGACGCUGAGGCGCGAAAGCGUGGGGAGCGAACA